UGACGGUACCUAACGAGGAAGCCCCGGCUAACUACGUGCCAGCAGCCGCGGUAAUACGUAGGGCAAGCGUUGUCCGGAAUUAUUGGGCGUAAAGCGCGCGCAGGCGGUUCCUUAAGUCUGAUGUGAAAGCCCACGGCUCAACCGUGGAGGGUCAUUGGAAACUGGGGAACUUGAGGACAGAAGAGGAGAGUGGAAUUCCACGUGUAGCGGUGUAAUGCGUAGAUAUGUGGAGGAACACCAGUGGCGAAGGCGACUCUCUGGUCUGUUUCUGACGCUGAGGUGCGAAAGCGUGGGUAGCAAACAGGAUUAGAUACCCUGGUAGUCCACGCCGUAAACGAUGAGUGCUAGGUGUUAGGGGGCUUCCACCCCUUUGCUGAAGUUAACGCAUUAAGCACUCCGCCUGGGGAGUACGGCCGCAAGGCUGAAACUCAAAGGAAUUGACGGGGGCCCGCACAAGCGGUGGAGCAUGUGGUUUAAUUC
rnacentral:rRNA from 1 species